ensembl:rRNA 5S_rRNA 5S ribosomal RNA
UCCGGCCGCCAUAUCACCCUGUAGCCCAAGACUGGUUGCCCACUGAAGCUAAGCAGAGCUGAGCCUGGUCAGUACCUCGAUGGGAGACCUCCUGGGAAAACUAGGUUGCUGCUGGAA